rnacentral:piRNA from 1 species
UGGGGAUAAUGUGGAAAUGGCAGUUGU